GUGGAGUGCUUGGAAGUGAGAAUGCCGGUAUGAGUAGCGAAAAGAUAGGUGAGAAUCCUAUCCGUCGAAAGCCCAAGGUUUCCUGAGGAAGGCUCGUCCGCUCAGGGUUAGUCGGGACCUAAGCCGAGGCCGAAAGGCGUAGGCGAUGGACAACAGGUUGAUAUUCCUGUACCACCUCGUAUUCGUUUGAACGAUGGGGGGACGCAGAAAGGUAGGGUGAGCGCGCCGCUGGCUGUGCGCGUCGAAGCAUGCGAGGCUGGAACAUAGGCAAAUCCGUGUUCC
rnacentral:rRNA from 1 species